rnacentral:rRNA from 1 species
AGUGAACGCUGGCGGUAGGCCUAACACAUGCAAGUCGAACGGCAGCACAGUAAGAGCUUGCUCUUACGGGUGGCGAGUGGCGGACGGGUGAGGAAUACAUCGGAAUCUACUUUUUCGUGGGGGAUAACGUAGGGAAACUUACGCUAAUACCGCAUACGACCUACGGGUGAAAGCAGGGGAUCUUCGGACCUUGCGCGAUUGAAUGAGCCGAUGUCGGAUUAGCUAGUUGGCGGGGUAAAGGCCCACCAAGGCGACGAUCCGUAGCUGGUCUGAGAGGAUGAUCAGCCACACUGGAACUGAGACACGGUCCAGACUCCUACGGGAGGCACCAGUGGGGAAUAUUGGACAAUGGGCGCAAGCCUGAUCCAGCCAUACCGCGUGGGUGAAGAAGGCCUUCGGGUUGUAAAGCCCUUUUGUUGGGAAAGAAAAGCAGCAGAUUAAUACCCCGCUGUUCUGACGGUACCCAAAGAAUAAGCACCGGCUAACUUCGUG